ACGAGUGGUGCAAGCGUUAUUCGGAAUCAUUGGGCGUAAAGGGUGUGUAGACGGUAUGUUAAGUCAACUGUUAAAUUCUCCGGCCUAACCGGAGGUCAGCAGUAGAUACUGAUGUGCUUGAGGGUGGAAGAGAGAAGUGGAAUUCUCGGAGUAGCGGUAAAAUGCGUAGAUCUCGAGAGGAACACCAAUGGCGAAGGCAGCUUCUUGGUCCAUUUCUGACGUUGAAACACGAAAGCGUGGGGAGCAAACAGGA
rnacentral:rRNA from 1 species